UACAGAGGUCUCAAGCGUUGUUCGGAUUCAUUGGGCGUAAAGGGUGCGUAGGUGGCGCGCUAAGUCAGGUGUGAAAUCUCGGAGCUUAACUCCGAAACUGCAUUUGAUACUGGCGUGCUUGAGGACUGGAGAGGAGACUGGAAUUCACGGUGUAGCAGUGAAAUGCGUAGAUAUCGUGAGGAAGACCAGUGGCGAAGGCGGGUCUCUGGACAGUUCCUGACACUGAGGCACGAAGGCCAGGGGAGCAAACGGGG
rnacentral:rRNA from 1 species